GAAAACAAAUUAUUCUCGCCUGACAUUUUAUCGUGUUAUUGUGUUCCACGCUAUUUAGUUCCUCCGGGAGCCUUCCGACUUUCACAGGCACUGCUUCAAUCAGCUUCUGCAGCGUGGAUAACUUACCUAGGGACCAGGCCUUCCUGCACAAGCAGCCAGUCAUGAGCAGGGGCAGACUAGCCUUGUUCUUUUUAAUUUUAAUAUUUAUAUAUUUUUGCAUUUCAAAGUAUAGAGAUUCAUUUUAGCAAUUCAUUGAAAAGUGAAAGCCACUGAGUUUCAUUUAGGAAAAAAAUACUUUACCUAUAAUGGGAGGAUUAUGUAGAAAUGAGCCUACUUGCUGGUUUUUCUUUUCUUUUCCAAAAUUUUUGCAUUGUGACUUAAGCGUUUUCCUACAUCAGAAAUUGACUGUCUUUGUUUUUUCAGUACAUAAUUUUCAAUGUAAACCUGCUUGUGUAGAAAUUUUUUUAAAAAGUGUUUAAAAGUAUCCUGUGUAUGAACAAAAUAGGCCUUAAUGGUAUUUUGGGUGGGGACAAGAACCUCAGGUUUACUUAAGGAAGAAGAGAAGUAUUUGCUUAGGGAACUUUAAACUAGUUACAUAGGAAUUUAUCCAAUAAAGAUACAGCUCUACCAUCAGUUUAAAAGAAAAACAAGGUUUUGGUAUAUCUUGACUAAAUGGCUUUGAAAGUACUAAAGAUUUUGAAAAACUCUUACAAAUCAGACUGCUUUAGAGUGAAAACAAAAAUUAGGGGCUACUUAUUUAAGUUAGGUAUCAAUAUUGGAAAUUUGGUAAUAGAGCAAAAUGUACUAUAUUGUAUUAAUAAUGAAAUAUUGGCACUAUAUAAAACUGACAGUUAAUUUUAAGUAUUUUUUAGAUCAUUAAGCCAGAAUUUCAAUGCAGAUAUGGAAGAAAAGGCUCUCAUUUUAAAAACUGCAAGAAAAAAAAUAAAUUUAAAUGCUGAAAUAUAUACUUUAAAUUUUUUAUUUUAUUUUAAAAACAUGUAAAAACUAACUUGGGUUUUAAUAAUGGAAUAAAUAAACAUGAGUCUGAAAAUUAAGUGAGUAUAAUAAAUUUGGAAUUGUAAAACUUCUGGUACUUUAAAAUUCUGUAUGAGAAUAGCUUGUGUUUAGAAUUCAGCCAGGCAUUGAGUCUUAAGCUUAUUUAUUUAUUUAUUUAUUUAUUUAUUGCAAAUAAAGACUAUAAUGUUAUGUAGAAGCUUGAGUUUUCAAAAAUAUAUUAAUUCUGGUUUGGCUUGAUAUCAUAGUUUUUGUUUUAAUAUCAUUUUCUAGCAAAGGAUACAAUGUUCAAUACUUAGAAUUCUACAUUUUGAGUAAAGCUAGUACAUAAUGACUUAGUUAUUUCUUAAUUUGUAAUAAACACUGGGAUAAUUUUUUAAAGUUUAUUUCUGAGUUUCUUAACAUUUUUUGCAGUACUGCAUAUUAAUUUAUAAAAGAAAUGUUUUGACAACAUUUUCAAACUGUGUUAGCUGAAUCUCCUAUAGAUGAGUAAGCAGUCAGUAUUAGUCUUAAAAUUCAUUUGCGAAGUAACCAGAAUUACUUUAUUGUAACAUAGGAACUGUUAUAAUAGUGUUUUUUGCAUUGAGUUUUUUGAUGUUUGAGUUGUAAAAAUUGCCACACAGUCUGAAAAUGAUUUCAUUGAACUAGAUACACUUUUGGGAAUAUUUAUUUUCUUUGUAAACGGAGAUUGAGCACCACCUGUUGGCCGUACUAAUGUAUUUCAAUUUGUGAAUUCAGCAAAAAAAAUUUUGUUGUUGGAAUGAUUAGAUUAAUUACUUAGGUCUAUAUAUUAUAUAAUUCUGUCACAAUAUAGUUUUUCUAAAAGCUCUACUUAAUAAAUUCAAUAAAGUGCUUUUAUUAUUGUAAAUUAUAAAAUGACCCAUCUAAUUGUACAUUUUCCCUAACUUUGCUGUAUACUACUGAAUAGUAAGUUAUCCUUUUUAAGGAAGCAAAUAGUCUUAACCAUGUGUUUAUUGAUGAAGUUAUUAAAAGAGGUAAUUAUUUUAUUUGCCCUAUCUGGAAAUUAUCAAAGUAAUCAUCAUUAAGCCAGAAUUUCAAUGUAUUAAUAGAUAUGGAUGAAAAGACUCAUACUGUACAUUAGAUAUUUCAUGUUCUUUUCUGCACUAGAUUUAAUUUUUAAGAAUGUGAAAUAAUAAUAAUUAUUUUUUAAUAAUUUGAAGUAAAAAAAAACCAAUCAAUUCUUGUGUUAAAAGCAACAAUUACUAUUUUUAUUGCAGUUAUAUUUUUUGUAACUUUAGACUUUUAUGUUGAAUAUUUUAUUUCAUUUGAAAUAGAUACAUGUAACUCAAGUAGGCGUUAAGAAAACAAAUUAUUAAU